rnacentral:rRNA from 1 species
CCUACGGGAGGCAGCAGUGAGGAAUAUUGGUCAAUGGACGAGAGUCUGAACCAGCCAAGUAGCGUGAAGGAUGACUGCCCUAUGGGUUGUAAACUUCUUUUAUAUGGGAAUAAAAUGUUCCACGUGUGGGAUUUUGUAUGUACCAUAUGAAUAAGCAUCGGCUAACUCCGUGCCAGCAGCCGCGGUAAUACGGAGGAUCCGCGCGUUAUCCGGAUUUAUUGGGUUUAAAGGGAGCGUAGGUGGAUUGUUAAGUCAGUUGUGAAAGUUGGCGGCUCAACCGUAACAUUGCAGUUGAAACUGGCAGUCUUGAGUACAGUAGAGGUGGGCGGAAUUCGUGGUGUAGCGGUGAAAUGCUUAGAUAUCACGAAGAACUCCGAUUGCGAAGGCAGUUCACUGGACUGCAACUGACACUGAGGCUCGAAAGUGUGGGUAUCAAACAGGAUUAGAUACCCUUGUAGUC